rnacentral:rRNA from 1 species
UACGAAGGGGGCUAGCGUUGUUCGGAAUCACUGGGCGUAAAGGGCGCGUAGGCGGCCGAUCAAGUCGGGGGUGAAAGCCUGUGGCUCAACCACAGAAUUGCCUUCGAUACUGUUUGGCUUGAGACCGGAAGAGGUAAGUGGAACUGCGAGUGUAGAGGUGAAAUUCGUAGAUAUUAGGAAGAACACCGGUGGCGAAGGCGGCCCACUGGAUCGGUACUGACGCUGAGGUGCGAAAGCGUGGGGAGCAGACAGG